GACGUAGGUGGCGAACGUUAUCCGGAUUUAUUGGGCGUAAAGAGCGUGUAGGCGGCCAUACAGGUCAGCUGUGAAAGCUCGAGGCUCAACCUCGAGACGUCGGUUGAAACCGUUUGGCUAGAGUCCGGAAGAGGAGAGUGGAAUUCCCGGUAUAGCGGUGAAAUGCGCAGAUAUCGGGAAGAACACCCGUGGCGAAGGCGGCUCUCUGGGACGGUACUGACGCUGAGACGCGAAAGCGUGGGGAGCGAACAGG
rnacentral:rRNA from 1 species